UACGUAGGGUGCAAGCGUUAAUCGGAAUUACUGGGCGUAAAGCGUGCGUAGGCGGUUGUUUAAGUCUGCUGUGAAAUCCCCGGGCUCAACCUGGGAAUGGCAGUGGAUACUGGGCAGCUAGAGUGUGUCAGAGGAUGGUGGAAUUCCCGGUGUAGCGGUGAAAUGCGUAGAGAUCGGGAGGAACAUCAGUGGCGAAGGCGGCCAUCUGGGACAACACUGACGCUGAGGCACGAAAGCGUGGGGAG
rnacentral:rRNA from 1 species